UACAGAGGGUGCGAGCGUUAAUCGGAAUUAUUGGGCGUAAAGGGCACGUAGGUGGUUGAAUAAGUGAGGUGUAAAAUUCCCGGGCUUAACCCGGGGUGGUCGCCUGAUACUGUUUGACUCGAGUAGGGAAGAGGGAAGUGGAAUUCUCGGUGUAGCGGUGAAAUGCGUAGAUAUCGGGAGGAACACCAGUGGCGAAGGCGGCUUCCUGGUCCACUACUGACACUCAAGUGCGAGAGCGUGGGGAGCAAACAGG
rnacentral:rRNA from 1 species